rnacentral:rRNA from 1 species
CCUACGGGAGGCAGCAGUGGGGAAUCUUGGACAAUGGGCGCAAGCCUGAUCCAGCAAUGCCGCGUGGGUGAAGAAGGCCUUCGGGUUGUAAAGCCCUUUUGUCAGGGAGCAAAUCCUUGUAGCUAAUAUCUACCGGGGAUGAGAGUACCUGAAGAAUAAGGACCGGCUAACUACGUGCCAGCAGCCGCGGUAAU